rnacentral:tRNA from 1 species
UCAAAAAUAGUUUAAAAAUUAAAAUUUUAAUUUUGGAGAUUAAAGAUAAAUUUAUUUUUUUUUGAA